UAAGGUUAAGUUAAUAAGGGCGCACGGUGGAUGCCUUGGCACUAGAAGCCGAAGAAGGACGUGACAAACGACGAAAUGCUUUGGGGAGCUGUAAGUAAGCGCUGAUCCAGAGAUGUCCGAAUGGGGGAACCCACUAACUAAUGGUUAGUAUCCAUAACUGUUAAGGUUAUGAGAAGGAAGACGCAGUGAACUGAAACAUCUAAGUAGCUGCAGGAAGAGAAAGCAAACGCGAUUGCCUUAGUAGCGGCGAGCGAAACGGCAGGAGGGCAAACCGAAGUGUUUACACUUCGGGGUUGUAGGACUGCGACGUGGGACUUUAAAAGGAUAGAAGAAUUACCUGGGAAGGUAAGCCAAAGAGAGUAAAAGCCUCGUAUUUAAAAUUCUUUUGAGCCCUAGCAGUAUCCUGAGUACGGCGAGACACGUGAAAUCUCGUUGGAAUCUGGGAGGACCAUCUCCCAACCCUAAAUACUCUCUAGUGACCGAUAGUGAACCAGUACCGUGAGGGAAAGGUGAAAAGCACCCCGGGAGGGGAGUGAAAUAGAACCUGAAACCGUGUGCCUACAACAAGUUCGAGCCCGUUAAUGGGUGAGAGCGUGCCUUUUGUAGAAUGAACCGGCGAGUUACGAUAUGAUGCGAGGUUAAGUUGAAGAGACGGAGCCGUAGGGAAACCGAGUCUUAAUAGGGCGAUUUAGUAUCAUGUUGUAGACCCGAAACCAUGUGACCUACCCAUGAGCAGGUUGAAGGUGAGGUAAAACUCACUGGAGGACCGAACCAGGGCACGUUGAAAAGUGCUUGGAUGACUUGUGGGUAGCGGAGAAAUUCCAAACGAACUUGGAGAUAGCUGGUUCUCUCCGAAAUAGCUUUAGGGCUAGCGUCGAUGUUAAGUCUCUUGGAGGUAGAGCACUGUUUGGGUGAGGGGUCCAUCUCGGAUUACCAAUCUCAGAUAAACUCCGAAUGCCAACGAGAUAUCAUCGGCAGUCAGACUGCGAGUGCUAAGAUCCGUAGUCGAAAGGGAAACAGCCCAGACCACCAGCUAAGGUCCCAAAAUAACUGUUAAGUGGAAAAGGAUGUGGGGUUGCACAGACAACUAGGAUGUUAGCUUAGAAGCAGCUAUUCAUUCAAAGAGUGCGUAAUAGCUCACUAGUCGAGUGACCCUGCGCCGAAAAUGUACCGGGGCUAAAACAGUUUACCGAAGCUGUGGAUGACACAAAAGUGUCAUGGUAGGAGAGCGUUCUAUGUGUGAAGAAGGUGUACCGUGAGGAGCGCUGGAACGCAUAGAAGUGAGAAUGCCGGUAUGAGUAGCGAAAGACAGGUGAGAAUCCUGUCCACCGUAAGACUAAGGUUUCCAGGGGAAGGCUCGUCCGCCCUGGGUUAGUCGGGACCUAAGGAGAGACCGAAAGGUGUAUCCGAUGGCCAACAGGUUGAUAUUCCUGUACUAGAGUAUAUAGUGAUGGAGGGACGCAGUAGGCUAACUAAACCGGACGAUUGGAAGAGUCCGGCUAAGCAGUGAGGUGUAAGAUGAGUCAAAUGCUUAUCUUUAUAACAUUGAGCUGUGAUGGGGAGCGAAUUUUAGUAGCGAAGUUAGUGAUGUCACACUGCCAAGAAAAGCUUCUAGCGUUUAAUGAUACUCUACCCGUACCGCAAACCGACACAGGUAGUCGAGGCGAGUAGCCUCAGGUGAUCGAGAGAACUCUCGUUAAGGAACUCGGCAAAAUGACCCCGUAACUUCGGGAGAAGGGGUGCUGACUUAGGUCAGCCGCAGUGAAUAGGCCCAAGCAACUGUUUAUCAAAAACACAGCUCUCUGCUAAAUCGUAAGAUGAUGUAUAGGGGGUGACGCCUGCCCGGUGCUGGAAGGUUAAGAGGAGGGUUUAGCGCAAGCGAAGAUCUGAAUUGAAGCCCCAGUAAACGGCGGCCGUAACUAUAACGGUCCUAAGGUAGCGAAAUUCCUUGUCGGGUAAGUUCCGACCCGCACGAAAGGCGUAAUGAUUUGGGCACUGUCUCAACGAGAGACUCGGUGAAAUUUUAGUACCUGUGAAGAUGCAGGUUACCCGCGACAGGACGGAAAGACCCCAUGGAGCUUUACUGCAGUUUGAUAUUGAGUAUCUGUACCACAUGUACAGGAUAGGUAGGAGCCAUUGACUUCGGGACGCCAGUUUCGAAUGAGGCGUUGUUGGGAUACUACCCUUGUGUUAUGGCUACUCUAACCCAGAUAGGUUAUCCCUAUCGGAGACAGUGUCUGACGGGCAGUUUGACUGGGGCGGUCGCCUCCUAAAGAGUAACGGAGGCGCCCAAAGGUUCCCUCAGAUUGGUUGGAAAUCAAUCGC
rnacentral:rRNA from 1 species